CUAUGUACGUUCGGACUAUCAUGUUCAUCGCGAUCACUUCAUGGUAUCAAACGAGAUAGGCGUGUGUAAUGAUCAAUCGGGCGGGUAUUGCGUUGCGCAAUUUUUUAAUUCGAUUAUCGCGUAGUGUAAGAAUGUUUCAUCUCACGCGCGCGACACAUAUUAGAAUUUAAAGUCGUUUGCCCCUCAAAUCACCACCAACUGAGCCAAAUUGCUUUUUGGCAUCACCACACCACUGUCCUGUUACUACUGGCUACUGAUGAUGGUUUCGAUGACGACAAAAUCUCCCUCGAAAAGAUGAUGCGAUUUACACAAAGUGUAUCACAGCUAAAUAUAUUUUUUGUAAAUAAACCAUCGAGUAGAACGGCAUUUUUUCGCCAAACUACUACUACAGGCAAGCUGCGCACAGGCUCAGAUACGUGGGUACGGCAAGCGUGGUAAAGAGAGCUGUUUUUAUUUACGUUCGCCAAAGUGGCUCCACAUCGCUGCUCACUACUGUGCGCUGUGAUGGUACAAAUACACCGACAAAUCCGGACCCACUACUAUUGGGGCGACGGAGAACGGGUGAUCGUAGCCGUUUGCCUUCCAGCAGCAGACGUUGGGUCGGUCGGUCGUCGGUCAUUCAAGAAACCUGCUCUCGUAGGUACAUAUAUGUAGGAAAUGAGAGAGGUAGAGAAGGAACAAUGUUUUGGUGAACUUAAGCAACGUGACUUAGCGCGAUAGGGAGCAAAGUAGGAUGGGGUUGUCUUACUGGGAUACAGAAUUCCCCGAUUAGUACGCUUACUAACAGUUAUUCCGCGCAUAAUGCGAUGUUUUUUUAUUAUCUUGUGAUACGUUUAAACUGUAGCUGAUAUAAUUUAAUAUGGGCUAUCUUGAUAUGAGUACCCAUUAGGGUGGUUCAAAUUAUUGAUUUUGCUGUAAUACCUAAUAUUCUUGACGAUCAAUCAAAAACAUUAGUAUUGAGCAACCCGUAUAAUUGGUUGAUGACAGUUUAGACUAUUGUAUUGGUAAAGUGAUCUUAUUGUGACCACAAUUAUUGUUAUUAAUAUUAUAGGUAUACAAUACAUUAUAUGUUUUAAUCGAGAUCAAAUUGAUUUUCUAUGGUUAAUAUACUUAACAACCCCCUUUCAGUAAAUCUCAUUUACAAUAGAUUCUAUUGUGCUCUACCAUUAUGGUGAAAGGCUAGAACGAGGUGGAUAAAAAGUUCUAUUUUCCCACAAUAAUUGCCUUAUAAAAUUCAAAAGUCCAGUGCAGUGUGACAUCGAAACCGAAUGAGCUAAUCUUUUUUUACAGAAUGAUCAGGACCUGAUUUGGAAUCAAUUGAGCUGGGUGGGGCAACAUCCCUUGAACUGUCCUAGUACGCAUACAUACGUACGUCUUCUUCUACCCUUUUUUAUUUUUUGUCUAUUUUCUAACCAGCCAAGCUGAUUUCAUUCUAAUUAUUUAGUGAUAACCAAAAAUCAAUGACCUAAACCUGUACUGCCUAACGUACGAUCUACGACCUUGUUUUGUUCGACCCGUGGUGAGUUCGAAAUAGUACACUGGAGUCGCUUUUUACGCGGGUGAUACGUCCGCGUAAAAAAACCGUGUAAAAAAACCGCAUAAAAAGCGACUCCAGUGUACUCAUAUCUGGUCCGCGAACUGUUCUACCGAGCUUAUGAAUCCCAUGUUUUCGCUUUAAUAUGAAAAAGCAUACACGACUAGAAUGUAGAGAAUAAGGAUUUCGACACUUAAUUUAACAUUUCAUUUUCUUUUUGACGCUGACAUUCUAAACUAGGUUUAACAAUAAAGAAAUUGGCCCUAAGAAUUAAAGAUUCAAAAUCCUGCUCAUUUUUUAACAUAUUUCAAGUGUGCAUUGUAUUUCUAUCUCUCCUAGAUAAACAUUUUUUACAUUCGUAAAAUUCCAGCCCCACUGCUGAUUAUUUUUAUUGUUCUCAGUAACGGAUUCUGGAAUCAAAUCAUACAUAAUAAUAUGCAUGCAACAUUGCGACGUCAAUUCAAGUCAAUUGCACAAUUCACUAAAAUGAUCUUUGUGCUAAGACACUACCGCAGCCAUACAAAAUUAUAUCCUUGAUACCAAAAAAUCAUGUGAAAUAGCUAUAGUUUUAAAUCAAUAAAAAAAAACUAUUGUUGUGGUCUUUGUUUGGUAUGCAAAUAUCAGAAACUGGUAUUUGGCAUACCAAUUUUUGGAAUUAUUCCUUGAUAUUUUACGUCUUAUCUCAAGAUAAUACAUAUCAAAUUAAAAUAUCUUAGUCAAGUUUCUAGCCAGGUAAAUAUCUUUGGCGAUUCAAUUUUAUAAAAAGCGAAGGCCUUAAUAAUCGCCAAAUUCAAAUGAUUGGUUAUCACACCAAAAUACAGGCUGGAUGUUGGCCUGUGGAAAAUAUGAUUUUUAUUUUUUUUAUUUUUAGUGGUUAUCUAGUUGAUACGUUGCAUAAGCUGCCUGUAUUUUGUUGCAAUAUACAAGCAGAAUGGACAUAAUUAAUUAAUAUCUCCAAAAUACUAACUUGAAUCGUAAUGCUGUCUUCAGAAAAGCUGUUCCUUAUUAUUUAAGCGUGUGCUGAAAUUCUCAGCUUAAUCGAGUUUGCUGAAUCAGUUCUAUGCACGAAAGAGUGAAGUAAUGUUAUUUCUCCAUACAUUUCAACCAAUAUCCCCAUAUAAGUUUUAAAUCAAAAGCGCCAGCUCGUGUUACAUCCUAAUGAGCUGAAAUGUUCAGAGAGUGGUUUUCUCACCUAAUGUCACAAAUCUAGGGGUUGAGCUGUUAAAAAAAUGAUAAAAAUGCACCCCAUGUAAAUGUGGGCCAGUCUAAUACUUAUAAAAACCGCCCAAACAUCCAUUGCUUAUCCAUGUUGUAUUAGUUUUCCAUCAAAUAAUGCAAAAACAAGAUCGAUAAACAUCGCCAAAAUAUGCAUACGCCUAUUAAUUUCCACCAGUGUAUGUAUAGGUAGCUAAAUAAACAGAGCUCACUACUCUAUGUGGAGGACGCUGUAUUAGAAUGAAAAAUUGCUUAUGAAUACAUGUAGAAGCACGUUGCAUAAGACAUUUAAACUAAUGACAUCCCAGUUUAGAAGCUCUUAUGGUUCUACAUUCAAGCAGGAAAUAUAAGAAUGUCUUUGUUAUGUUUCACCACAUGAACAUAUUAUAUAAUGUGGUCGUCGGAAGGUUUUAAAAUUAUUUUGCAAUUUUAUGGUAGUUGAAUUUUCGAACAAAGUUUGUUUCGUCCAAUGCUUUGUGCUUAGAAAAGCAUAACGAACAUAUUAAUUUUGGAAAACAUGAUUGUACGCAACAGUCCAUUGUUAGUACUGCGAGUAGUUUUCAUUUAAGAAACAUGUACAGCGUAUGCCAUGCAGUGCUGAGAUUUGUCAUUGUCAUUGACAGACUUUUGCGCGAUAUUGACAAAAUUGUGUUUCACAUAGUCAAUGAUAGACUUGAUCCUCAAAAAAAUCUUUGUCAAAAUCUCAUUCAUUUUUUCGUCAAUGACAAAGAUUCACCUGGUAACAGAAAGUGUAAUUUCUUGCGUUCUGAAACACAUUAUUGUUAUCCAAGUGGUUCAGGACGUAGAUGCUUAUUCACUUUAAUGGCUCCAUGUAAUUGUUUUGCUCAAGCCAUUUAAUUUCAUUUCAAAUUUAGGUAAUAAACAAAUCAGCACAUGUUCGUCACUGACAAAAAUGUUACUGACAAUUGACAUGGUUUGCCUUGACGAUGACUGUUAGCUCAAACGAGUGACCAAAGCAGAAUUUUGAGUAUCACCGUGUAUUGUCGAAAUUUUGCAGCACUGAUGCCAUGUUCUAUGUUAAACAUUUAUUCUGGAGGUUAAAAUAGUGGAAAUCAAAAUAAAGCACACAUCUUAAAGGACAAGAGUUGAUAAAAUCUCACACGAGAUGUGAAGUAUAACUCUGGUCUUUUUUUUAAACGGGGCUAUGCAAACGUGUAAGAAAAGCAACCAACAUUGGGUUCUUCACAGGCUAUAAUAUGUAUAAAGUUGUAGGUUAUGAAAGCAUUCGUAAUUUUAGUAAGGUCCAAAUACACCUUUUUUAAAUAUCUGAGUGUACACCUAAAAUAAUGAUUUUUAUUAAAUUUUUUUUGGCUUUAUUUGUUUCCCUACUACAAUUUUACACCGGCCUUUACCUUCGUGUCCUUUUUCCACUUCCACAGUUGUUAAUUGAGAGCUUUUUUAGCCUGUACCAUUUUUGAAUUAGUAUAAUUGUUUGGCAAGUAAAAUCAUAUUUAAUGUUCAGGGAAUUCGAGAAAAUUUCCAACAAUUUGCUAUAAAUCUUUACGGAAUGAGCUAAGGGAGGCCCCACAUUUAAGUACUCCAUUUGAUUACCUAUAAUUUAAAACGGAAAACGUGAUUGGAAUUGGAUUGUUAAGUUGUGUCUGUUUCGAGAAAUCAUUUAAAAUGUACAGUCUGAAUUGGAACUGAAUGGCGUUUGCUACGCGAACAAAAUUGUUUAAAAAAUACUUCAGUGUACCAUGUCCUGAGUGGUGAACCAGAACACCGAAGCUGAGUCUGAGUUAAGCUGAAAUCUCAUGCCAGAUUCUUAUUAUUUUCAUAUGAAUUCAGAUAGGAACUUCAAAAAUUGAAGAGCUGUGUUUUUUUUUGCGAAUGUAAACAGUUGAGAUAUAUUAAUCCUUUCCAUUCCAUUCUGCAUAGCCGGGAUACGAAAAAUAUAUAGUCGAGGGGCGUGUGUUUGGUUGUUUGAUGAUAAUUCAUCAGACUGAAUGUCACUAGGGUUAAAUCAUAGCGGAGUGUCUAAAGGUCGAAUGCGUCACUAGGUCGAAUGGAUCAAAAGCAAAACUUGAAUAAUCUUAAAUACUGUAUUGGAACAAUACCGUUAUCGAAUAUAGGUACGUUUUCCGCAAUAUGAGUGAAAAUUUAGUUUUGCAUAAAACUUUUGAGUGUCAAAAUUUGAGCCUUUUUCAUUUUAUUUUUUUAGAAUUCUUGAUGUUUUUUAUAAUUCAUGAAUUUGUCAAGGUUCACAUGUGGUAGCUUUGCGGAGUCGUAAAUUAAUGUAAAAUAAUCAAUACUUCUUAGAUCUGAAAUAAGUACAAUGGAGCUCGAAUAUUCGUGGCUUAUUCGAGGAGACUAAUAAAAAGGUAUCGGGAGGUGAAAAUAUCGUUUUAAUAUACGUCGCCGUUGUUUACUGCAUUCAACGAAUAACCGUUCAAUUAAUCACAUAGUCGAUCAGUUUUGGGACGUCGUUCUACUCUGGGCUGCGGAGUCGGCGAAAAAUAUUCCAACUCCGACUCUGACUCCUCAAAAAUACCGUUCUGAAUUAUAUCCUGAAAAACCUAUACACCUUUAUUAUACGAACUUUUUAGAAUAUAUCAUACUUGUUCCUUUAGGGUCACCCCUCGAUUUUUAAAGGAAUCUAUAGGUUUUUAUAGAUAUUUAAACAUAAAUACAUAUUUAAAUAGUGUCCGGAAUAUUAAUCAGAACGCCAACUCCGCCUCCGACUUCCACCAGAGUAUAGUACAUUUCAUGCGGAAAAAAUUACAUAGUGUUAGAAAUAAAAAUAAUUGAACUAACUUUUCAAGUGACCUUUGUCUUAUUCUAGUAUAGUCGAGCAAUGAAAUGACAUCACAUUUGAACACCCCAAAAUUUAAAAUUAUUGCCAAUUAUGGAUAAGUGAUCACAUACUAUCAAGACUAACUCAAUUAGCUAUCCACCAAUUUUUGAUUGUUAUACACAAAGUUAGAAGUUUUGAAAUACAUACACAUUUAUGGUGAUUUUACUGAAAUUCAUUGAUAUUUAAAUAAUCAAAUUAGAUUUUUAUUCUAAAAAAACAAGUAAUUUAUUUUUCAAUUUAAGACGCCAUUAAGGUAACUAAAACACGAUACUCCCUCUCGCCAUUAUACCCCUUGUUAUCCAUGCAAUUUUGAGGCUUUGUUCACAAGUCGGACAUCAUAUACACCCAAUUGAAGCAAUUAUCAAGCAAAUCUUAACGAAUUUCAGUAAAAUCACCAUUAAUGAGUAUAUUUUUUCAAACGCAAUGACUUUUUGUUCUCCAAAACCAUAUAAACUGAUUAAACCGAUACACAUGAACAACAGGACAUGAAAAUGCGCAUGAGAAAUGUUCACGAAAUAUAUUCUGGCUGCCGACGGGAUUUCACCCACAGAUACCACACGAUCGCAAUAACAAUUAUACUACGGGUACCGAUAAGGCACACGCAAUAUUUGGGUAGUGUAAGGCUUCAAAGGAAAUAACUGUAAAGGAACUUUAUACUUGUUUCUGAUUUAAGGUUGGAGACGGAUUCAAAUAUCAAUAAUUAAGAAAUUUAAAAAGUACAAAAGUUCAACAACCGUUGCUCACGAAUCACGUUAAUCACGAAUUUCUAAAUUUAUUAAUUUUCAAUCGAUUCAAUUUCACAUUGCCAAAUAUUAAGUUUUUGAGAAGCGCCACGGAGCACUAGUAAAGGCUUUGUGGAGCACGAUUUGUAAAUCCCUGGCUUGCCGGAUGAAGCCCUAUUAUACAUAUUUAAAUUUAGAAUGAAGAAACUUCAACUAAAUUUAAUUUGUUGAUGCUCAUACAUCUGGCAAUAUCGAAUAAAUUAAUACGUCAUGUAACAUAAUUACUUAGUCCUGAUAUUGUAUAACUAAUUUUAUUGUAAUAAAUAGUAGUUCUCGAAACAAUUGCUCCAAACAUAAGUUGUAAUGUAAUUUUAGUCCGUGAAGUAUUGAUUUAAGAGUAUCAUUGUGUUCAACCUUAAUACUUAUGAU